CUAAAAACCUAGCCCUUACUCCCCCCCCCCCAAUUUUUUAUUUUAAACUAAAAUAUUUUAACAGUUAAGUAAAGAAGAUUAAAAACCCCUUUAAGAGCUAUAAAUACGUACCGCAAGGGAAAGAUGAAAUAAGAUGAAAUAUUAUCAAGCACAAAAUAGUAGAGACCUGCCCUCGUACCUUUCGCAUCAGGGUUUAGCUAGAGUAAUUAGGCAAAAAGUCCUUAAGUCUAACUCCCCGAAACUAAGUGAGCUAUCUUAGGGCCGCUUAAUGAGUCCACCCGUCUAUGUUGCAAAAUAGUGGGGUGACCCUAAGAUAGAAGUGACAGACCUACCGAACUUAGUGAUAGCUGGUUUCUUAGGAAAAGAAUGUUAGUUCAACCUAAAGCGACCCCAAACCACACAAUUAACUCCCUCGCUUUAGAGUAAUUCAAAUGAGGUACAGCUCAUUUGACCCAGGAUACAACCUUAACCAACGGCUAAAAUUUAACUUAUGUCCACAAGUAGGCCUAAGAGCAGCCACCUUCAAAAAAGCGUCAAAGCUUAGAUACACAUACCUUAAUUUAUUUACCCAUAUUGAACCCUUUAAUUGUACUGAGAACUUCUAUACUAUAUAGAAUUUUUUAUGCUAAAACUAGUAACAAGAGAUACCCCUCUCCCUAGUGUAAAUGUAAGUCAGCAAGAACCCAUCACUGACAACUAACAGAUUUAAACAAAAGUAGUAACUCCACAAGAAAACCCCACUUUUUCUCCUGUUAACCUAACACAAGAACACUUCAAGAAAGAUUAAAAGAAAAAGAAGGAACUCGGCAAAACCUAGCCCCGCCUGUUUACCAAAAACAUCGCCUCUUGAUUACCUCUAUAAGAGGUCUUGCCUGCCCAGUGACUCUGUUCAACGGCCGCGGUACCCUAACCGUGCGAAGGUAGCGUAAUCACUUGUUUUCUAAAUAAAGACCAGUAUGAAAGGCGUCACGAGGGUUAAACUGUCUCCUCUUUCUAAUCAGUGAACCUAAUCUUCCCGUGAAGAAGCGGGAAUUACCCCAUAAGACGAGAAGACCCUGUGGAGCUUAAAACAUCAUAACACUGCUAACAAAUACCAAUAUUCAGAUACCCCCUCCCUCAAAGCACGAUGAUUAUAAGUUUUUGGUUGGGGUGACCGCGGAGAAAAAUUAAACCUCCACUAUGAAAAGAGCCCUCCUUAACAAUAAGCUACAACCUUAUGUAUCAACAAAUUGACAUUAUUGACCCAACAAAUUGAUCAACGAACCAAGUUACCCCAGGGAUAACAGCGCAAUCCACUUUGAGAGCUCUUAUCGACAAGUGGGCUUACGACCUCGAUGUUGGAUCGGGAUAUCCUAGUGGUGCAG
rnacentral:rRNA from 1 species